CCUAGUAACGGCGAGUGAAGCGGCAACAGCUCAAAUUUGAAAUCUGGCCUCGGCCCGAGUUGUAAUUUGUAGAGGAUGCUUUUGGCGCGGUGCCUUCUGAGUUCCCUGGAACGGGACGCCAUAGAGGGUGAGAGCCCCGUAUAGUUGGACACCUAGCCUCUGUAAAGCUCCUUCGACGAGUCGAGUAGUUUGGGAAUGCUGCUCAAAAUGGGAGGUAAAUUUCUUCUAAAGCUAAAUACCGGCCAGAGACCGAUAGCGCACAAGUAGAGUGAUCGAAAGAUGAAAAGCACUUUGAAAAGAGGGUUAAACAGCACGUGAAAUUGUUGAAAGGGAAGCGCUUGUGACCAGACUUGGGCCCUGCAAAUCAUCCGGCGUUCUCGCCGGUGCACUUUGCUGGGUCCAGGCCAGCAUCGGUUUCCUCAGGGGGAUAAAAGCUCUGGGAACGUAACUCCUCCGGGAGUGUUAUAGCCCUCUGCAUAAUACCUCUGAGGGGACCGAGGACCGCGCAUCUGCAAGGAUGCUGGCGUAAUGGUCAUCAGCGACCCGUCUUGAAACACGGACCAAGGAGUCGACCAUUAGGGCGAGUGUUUGGGUGUAAAACCCGCACGCGUAAUGAAAGUGAACGUAGGUGAGAGCUUCGGCGCAUCAUCGACCGAUCCUGAUGUAUUCGGAUGGAUUUGAGUAAGAGCCUUAACGGUCGGACCCGAAAGAUGGUGAACUAUGCCUGAAUAGGGUGAAGCCAGAGGAAACUCUGGUGGAGGCUCGCAGCGGUUCUGACGUGCAAAUCGAUCGUCAAAUUUGGCUGGGGGCGAAAGACUAAUCGAACCAUCUAGUAGCUGGUUACUGUUGA
rnacentral:rRNA from 1 species